rnacentral:rRNA from 1 species
GACGAACGCUGGCGGCGUGCUUAACACAUGCAAGUCGAACGGAAAGGCCCUGCUUGCAGGGUACUCGAGUGGCGAACGGGUGAGUAACACGUGGGUGAUCUGCCCUGCACUUCGGGAUAAGCCUGGGAAACUGGGUCUAAUACCGGAUAGGAGCCAUUUUUAGUGUGAUGGUUGGAAAGUUUUUUCGGUGUAGGAUGAGCUCGCGGCCUAUCAGCUUGUUGGUGGGGUAAUGGCCUACCAAGGCGGCGACGGGUAGCCGGCCUGAGAGGGUGGACGGCCACAUUGGGACUGAGAUACGGCCCAGACUCCUACGGGAGGCAGCAGUGGGGAAUAUUGCACAAUGGGCGCAAGCCUGAUGCAGCGACGCCGCGUGGGGGAUGACGGCCUUCGGGUUGUAAACUCCUUUCGCUAGGGACGAAGCUUUUGUGACGGUGCCUAGAUAAGAAGCACCGGCUAACUACGUG